CUGCUCCUUCCAUCUCGCUCCAUCAGAGUUGAUGAUUCCUGUAAAUUAAGACACAUCGAUUUUAUUUUAAUGAAUUGCACACUAGAACGCGGUUUCCGGACCGAUCACGUUUUUAAAGUGCGGACUUCCGAUGAUUUUUCCGCAACCUUGAUCGACUGGUUUCUCGUUAGCGAAGUUCUUACUGGGGGCGGUCGUCAACCUGACCGACUGUUGAUAACCGCCCCAGGCGAGAAAGAAAACAUUUUACGAACGAAAAAGAAGAAGAAGAAGAAAAAAAAAAGAAUUACAUAAUCGGAAGCGCUUCUUCUUCUCCUCG
rnacentral:lncRNA from 1 species